AUUGAACGCUGGCGGCAUGCUUUACACAUGCAAGUCGAACGGUAACAGGUUAAGCUGACGAGUGGCGAACGGGUGAGUAAUGCAUCGGAACGUGCCCGGUCGUGGGGGAUAACACUUCGAAAGAAGUGCUAAUACCGCAUACGAUCUGAGGAUGAAAGCGGGGGACCGUAAGGCCUCGCGCGAUCGGAGCGGCCGAUGUCAGAUUAGGUAGUUGGUGGGGUAAAGGCUCACCAAGCCGACGAUCUGUAGCUGGUCUGAGAGGACGACCAGCCACACUGGUACUGAGACACGGCCCAGAGUCCUACGGGAGGCAGCAGUGGGGAAUUUUGGACAAUGGGCGCAAGCCUGAUCCAGCAAUGCCGCGUGCAGGAAGAAGGCCUUCGGGUUGUAAACUGCUUUUGUACGGAGCGAAAAGGCUCUCUCUAAUACAGGGGGCUCAUGACGGUACCGUAAGAAUAAGCACCGGCUAACUACGUGCCAGCCGCCGCCGUAA
rnacentral:rRNA from 1 species